CUGAAACCCUGUGCCUACAAGCACAUAGAGCACGUCAAGGUGUGAUAUGGUACCUAUUGUAGAAUGGUCCGGCGAGUUAUGUUAUGGAGCGAGGUUAAGUACUUCAGGUGCGGAGCCGCAGCGAGAGCGAGUCUGAACAGGGCGAAAUUAGUUGCAUGACAUAGACCCGAAACCGGGUGACCUAUCCAUGUCCAGGCUGAAGUGGAAGU
rnacentral:rRNA from 1 species